GUAUUUGUGCGAGUUAACGCAAGUUACAUUCUGAUACUUCAUUGGGGUAUGUUAAGGGUUUGCAUGCGAGCCUCCGAUCUCUCAUCGGCUCGCACACUUGGUUCACAAAGGGGUGGAAUAGAGAAGGGACACACAUCCGAGCGAGCACGUCCCAUUGCUGGGCAGCAUCAGCACCGAACAUGCAUUCCGAGCUUCAAUAAUGAUCCUUCCGCAGGUUCACCUACGGAAA
rnacentral:misc_RNA from 1 species